UUUAAGACUGAAACCCAGGUCAGAGGAGACGGCGGAGUCCCUGAGGUGUCCAUCUUCGGUUCAGGGUCUGUGGUCUUUCUAAAGUUAAGGGUCAAACUUUUUUUCUGCCAGCAGGUGGCAGUGAACGUAUCUCAGCCUCUCAGUUCUAUCUUCAUGUAGCCCUCUGACCAGCCAAUUAAGGAACCAAAGUAACCCCAGAUUCUGUGUCAGAAGGUCAACUAAUUCUCUGGCCCAGAUGGACCUCACUGACUUUUGCAUCACCAUGUGAUGCCCGGUUUGGGUGGGCCAGAUGCCAAACACUGAGGAACCAAGGAAGGACUUCAAGCCCUAGGGUGUGAUGGAAGGAGGCUGGGUUCCAGAAUGACCGCCUCCAGAAGGAUCCCCUUCCGCCCUCCCACCCCCAAAGCUGGAAGGUGGCAUUAGGCAGAACCAAGCCUUCAUUGUGUUACAUCGCCAAGAUUUAGUUAUCUGUUACAUGAGUCAGGUUAUCCUAACAA